GUCCCUACCUGUGCUUGCUCUGAAGGUUUUUUUUAAUCUCUGUAUUGUCUACAAGUCCUCUGGCACCACACAUGCAUUGCAGAUGCAGCACUGAGACUCCAGCCUCCAGGUGGUACCACAGGACAAAGUAUAAAGGAACGUACGGGUAAGUGUCUGGAGCCAACAUCAACUCCUUGUGUUUCAGAAUUGUGCUUCAGGACAAUAACUUUCGCAGUCUGGAGAAGAUUAAUUCCAGAAUGAUGGACAAUGAAUUGCACAUGUUGCUAAGUUGUGAAGAAGUUACAGUGGGGGAACACCCCAGCAGACCUUCUUUCUAAAUGCCUUUUGUUUUCAUUUCCCACAGUCUAGCCCAUCUGGCAGCUUUGUGAUACCGGACAUAACCCACAAAAGCUUGAGCUGUUUCAUUUUCUGAAUAAAUGAGUUCUCAGUCACUGUGAUCAAAGUUCAGUGUUCUUCAUCUGAGGUCUCCAAUCCCCUCUGCCUGGAGCCUGGCCACCAGCCCAGCCAGGGUGCUCCUUGUUCCAGUGAAAAUCUGCAAUCUCACAUAGAUCUCACAAUACUUGUACAGCAGGUGGUGUCCAUAUUCACUCCUCAUAAUCUUCUUGUGCUCCACCGAGGUCUACCAGCUACCCAGAAGUCAUCUGGGGAAUCAGGGAGUCAAACACUACACUGCCACUGGGGAGAAGACCAAUGUGAAAACUCAGUCAGACAUCCAGAAGUCUUGAUGGGCAGCCAGCGGGCAGAGCUAUGCUGAGGAAGAGCAGGAUCUGUUUGCUCCUAGGUUUGGUUGUGAUCAUGU
ensembl:lncRNA